CCAUCUCUUUCUAAAC
rnacentral:sRNA from 1 species